GGCCUUGGGCAGGGCCGUUGGGCGGUUGGGCGAGGCCUCGCGCUGGGCGCUUGGGCGUGGCCUUGGGCAGGGCCGUUGGGCGUGGCCUCGCGCUGGGCCACCCGCAGUUCAGAGGCUGCGUCGGCAGCGGUGGCAGGGUAGCCGCAGUCCGCAGCCAGAGUAUGGCUGACACGCGAGAGGCUUGGGCCUGCAAGGGGAGGCCGAAGGAGGACUGACCAGAGCAAAAGAUCCCAGCUACCGGAACGGUAGUGCGCCCCACUCCGUGCGCAGGACUGGGCAGCCAUCCGUCCGCCGGGGAGGUGAGCUGGAGAGAGCACAGAUUCGGAGAAAUUGAGGAGGAGGCUGGAUGUGAGGACAAAUGAAAGUGCUUUGGGCAGUGUUGAUGAUAAGAAGUAACCGCGAGCAGUUCCUCCUGUCCCGGUGCUAGCAAGGGGCUUUCGUAUGCAGUCUCACUGGGUCCCACGUGGGCUUUUGUAAGGUGGUGGAUAGAACUUUCCCCACGAGAGGAGGCAGCGACCACGUCUUCCUCUGUGGAGAAUUCGAAGAUCCGUCCAGCUGGGAGGCGCAGUCCUCACCCGUCCAGGCCGACAGAGCUAGGGAACCCUGGGCUGUCUUAUGAUGCAGGAAUGCAUUUUCAAGACUUCUCCUUUUGGGAAGUAGAGUCUGUGAGGCGGUGCCGCCCAGCCUGAUUUCCUGCGCUGUGGUGGUGUGGAGCGCUGCUGUGGAACCCAGCACCAUGUUCUGUGGGAAGGAGUCCACUGUGCUUUCUCUGUUAUACUUGUAAUGGGAACAGUAGUUCCUAGGAUUGCAGGGCAGCUGUGCAGUGACAGUAACCACUGGGAAAACGAGAAUGACACUUGCAGCAAUAGUCCAGAUCGUCUGCCUAGCUGGCAAAUGUAGUAGGAACUUCCUGCCCUUUGCCUGUCUCUAGCUGCAGGGUAAAUCAGAUAAGGGUCCUUCUAUUGCUUCAAGUUUCAUUCCCUCCUUAAAUGAUUGAGGGUGGGCUUUCUUAGUUCCUCCCUGAAGGUGUGAUUUCAUAUCUCAGUUGAGGUCAUAAGAGGAGCACUGGCCAAAAUAAAAUAGGAAUCUGGAUCCCUGGGGAUGGAUGGCUGAAGUAAUGCCCUCCCUGUACCCCCGAAUAUCCUAAUGGAUUUUGUGCUCAGAGUCCUAGGGACCUGGGAGCCCCCGAAAUAAUUUCCCUGGCCAGUGCUGUCUAGUGGAAUUGUAAGGUAGCACUGCUAACCCAGCAGCCGUCAUGCUGCCUGUGGGAGAGCUGGGCCAGACACCAGCUUCCCUUUCAAACGGAAACGAGUAACUCUGAGGUCUCCAGUGAGGGAAACUUUGGGCUCAGGAAGAGCCAGGCUCCUCCCACGCACGCUUCUCCAGGAGGUUUGCAAGAGGUAUUCUUGAUUGUCCUCUUUGGCAGACCACGGAGCUUCCUGUUUUUCCAUGUCUUCCUUUCUGGGAUUCCAAGAUGACAGAAUGGUGGCACUUGAUGGUCUCCUCAGGGUAUAGUCAGCGUGGGAGCCCAGGGCACUGCCAAUGAAUGUAGAGCCUAGGCACAGGCUGUGGGCUUUGGAAAAACAGCUUUAUUGAGGUGUAAUUGGCCUUCGAUAAGCUGCGUGUCUAACUGCACACACUAACGUGUUGCGUGUGUGCAUACCUCCUGCUGCCGUCACCUCAGUCAGACCAUGAGCCUACCUGUCCUCAUGAAAUGUUCUCCUGGCCUUCUGCAUCUCUUCCCUUCCACUCUUCACACCGCUAACACACUGGACCCAAAACAGACGAAAGUCAAAAGGCACCCCAGCCACGUAACGCAGAUGGUGUGUGACCAUGACCCUCAGACAAUUAGAGCGACUUUCCUUUUAGACCGAGAUGGGUGUCGGUAAAAUACUGGUUAAUUCAGCAGUUACGCAAAAGACAGAUGAAAAUGUAUAACUGCUACGGCAAGCAGAAACACCAAAAUGACACCCAGGAUUCAGAGGCAGAUUUACAUCGACGGGCAUCGAUUGGGAUCACCCCCAGAAUACCAGGCCCUGACCUCUGGUGGUCUCGGCUUAUAUGGGAUGAACAAGCAGGAGGCACCGAGGCAGAAGGGCUUGUCAUUGGGGAUUGGUCUAUACAUCGUGAUCACAGUGCCCAGCUGUUUCUAAGAGAAGGAACAGAAGCAACAGGAACUGUGACACGGGCAACUGAAAUGUGCUGGCUGGGGGCAUCUCCUGCCUGUAGACUCUCGUUCUCCAAAGUGUGAUUUUUUUUUUUUCUCUGUCUUUGUCCAGUUUUUCUUUCCAGUUUCCCUGCAGCCUUAAAUUUGGUUGAUUUUCUCAUUUUCUCCUGGCAUUGCAAGCAGGCUGUUUGCUCUUGAGUUCCUGAGGAAAGAUAUGCUCUAGAUAAAGAAAAGGUGCUAGCAGGUGGCAGGCAACACAUUUCAAAGCAAAAGUGGCCUUCACUCACCGUUUUCCAGGCCCUUAGGAUGGGCUCAGAGCAGUAGCAUGGGAAACCUGGAGACCUGUGACUCACCCGGUGCCAAAGCUGACCGGGAAGGCACAGCGCGGCCUGGAGGACAGGGCUGACACGCUGUGCGGGCGCGCUGAGCUCUGAGCUCGCCUCCCCGCCAGGCCAGGCCACUGACCCAAACACAGUGCGUGAGAUUUAGGAAUAGUCCCUGAGUACAUGUGGCGCAUCCGUUUGUCAAGUACCUGUCACUUAGGUGCCAACUUCACACCUGAAUUGCGUAUUGAAGUUAAAACACAAAACGGUGAAUUAAAGUGGAUCGGUCAAGGA